AGAACAAGCGGUCAUGCGCAUUCAUCGUAUUGGGCAAACAAAAAGUGUGAUGAUCAAACGGUUCAUUGUGAAGUUGAGGAGAGGAUGGAAGCAGUGCAAGCUCGUAAACAGCGAAUCAUAUCCGGUGCUUUGACAGAUCAAGAAGUUCGCACGGCACGUAUAGAGGAGCUGAAGAUGCUUUUCACAUAGUCCUCACAAGAAUUUCUGUUCUUGUGAUUUUUUUUGAGAUGCCUCUAAGCUAGGUAGCCAUGGAGAUCCAGGUUUCUCAGAAACCAGUAUAGUAAAAGAAUCCUCUAAGCUUGGGCUAUCGAGGCUCACUAAUUCUAGAUUUAUCAAGCACAGGUUGGAGGCAAGUCUGAUAAGGUCCUUCAGGGCCACGGAUGUCUCAUAAGUUAAUGGAGAGGAGAUCAGAGCAGGCCUUGGUACAAUUGGUUUAUAUGGAUCUUUGUGGGGUUCCGGUUCCUGGUCUUGGUAGGACUGAACUCGAGAACAGUUGUACAGAGCGAGACGUGGGAAAACGCUGAAAUUGGGGGACGGGUUGAUUUUGUAAUGCUCCAAUGUAGCUUAAUUUCGUCAGAAUCAACAUCUUGCGAUUCUGUCGAAAUGAUUGCAUUGUUUUCUCAAAAAUGUAAAACAUAUUGUUUUGGUGCCUUGGCUUUGUACAGGAUUAAUUAUAUGAUAUGAGCAGUUUAUUUCAA